rnacentral:lncRNA from 1 species
GUUGCGUCAAUGAGAAGAGAAGGUUUGUGCUAGCCUUUGUUUUGUUUGUUUUUUGAUGAGAGUGAGAGCAAAGUAUUAAGAGAGAGAAGGUUUUCGAAAAUGUAGCGCACCACUCCCUUUCAUGUUACAUUUUCCUCAUUUUUUUAAUAUAUAUACAUAACUACUUAUAUUUAUUUUUAAUUAGUAGAAUUAGGAUUGUAGUAUUUUAGUUGGGCUAGGCCUAAUUGAUUUUUUUUUUGAACACGCUCGCAUGUCAAUAUGUGCACCCUCUUUUAU